rnacentral:rRNA from 1 species
UUUAACGGCCGCGGUACCCUAACCGUGCGAAGGUAGCAUAAUCACUUGUUCUUUAAAUGAGGACUCGUAUCAACGGCAUCACGAGGAUCCUACUGUCUCCCCCCUCUAAUCGGUGAAACUGAUCUCUCCGUGAAGAAGCGGAGAUGUACAUAUAAGACGAGAAGACCCCAUGGAGCUUUAAACCCAACAACACCCGCCCCCCUCCAAAUCCUAUUAUUUACCCGGUGAUUGUUUGUUUGGUUUUAGGUUGGGGUGACCGCGGAGUAUAAGAUAUCCUCCAUGAAAAAAAGCUAACUGCCCUUAUUAGAGAAAGACACUUCCAAAAAAUAAUAAAUUAAUUUUAAAUGAUCCGAUAUUCGAUCAACGAACCAAGUUACCCUGGGGAUAACAGCGCAAUCCGUCCCGAGAGCCCCUAUCGACAGGCGGGUUUACGACCUCGAUGUUGGAUCAGGGUAUCCUAGUGGUGCAGCAGCUACUAAAGGUUCGUUUGUUCAACGAUUAAAACCCU